rnacentral:rRNA from 1 species
GACGAACGCUGGCGGCGUGCCUAAUACAUGCAAGUAGAACGCUGAAGGAGGAGCUUGCUUCUCUGGAUGAGUUGCGAACGGGUGAGUAACGCGUAGGUAACCUGCCUGGUAGCGGGGGAUAACUAUUGGAAACGAUAGCUAAUACCGCAUAAGAGUAGAUGUUGCAUGACAUUUGCUUAAAAGGUGCAAUUGCAUCACUACCAGAUGGACCUGCGUUGUAUUAGCUAGUUGGUGGGGUAACGGCUCACCAAGGCGACGAUACAUAGCCGACCUGAGAGGGUGAUCGGCCACACUGGGACUGAGACACGGCCCAGACUCCUACGGGAGGCAGCAGUAGGGAAUCUUCGGCAAUGGACGGAAGUCUGACCGAGCAACGCCGCGUGAGUGAAGAAGGUUUUCGGAUCAUAAAGCUCUGUUGUAAGAGAAGAACGAGUGUGAGAGUGGAAAGUUCACACUGUGACGGUAUCUUACCAGAAAGGGACGGCUAACUACGUGCCAGCAGCCGCGGUAAUACGUAGGUGGCAAGCGUUAUCCGGAUUUAUUGGGCGUAAAGAGAGUGCAGGCGGUUUUCUAAGUCUGAUGUGAAAGCCUUCGGCUUAACCGGAGAAGUGCAUCGGAAACUGGAUAACUUGAGUGCAGAAGAGGGUAGUGGGACUCCAUGUGUAGCGGUGGAAUGCGUAGAUAUAUGGAAGAACACCAGUGGCGAAAGCGGCUACCUGGUCUGCAACUGACGCUGAGACUCGAAAGCAUGGGUAGCGAACAGG